rnacentral:rRNA from 1 species
AACGAACGCUGGCGGCAGGCUUAACGCAUGCAAGUCGAACGCAUCCUUCGGGGUGAGUGGCAGACGGGUGAGUAACGCGUGGGAACGUGCCCUUCAGUUCGGGAUAACCCAGGGAAACUUGGGCUAAUACCGGAUACGUGCGAGAGCAGAAAGAUUUAUCGCUGAAGGAUCGGCCCGCGUCUGAUUAGCUAGUUGGUGGGGUAAUGGCCCACCAAGGCGACGAUCAGUAGCUGGUCUGAGAGGAUGAUCAGCCACAUUGGGACUGAGACACGGCCCAAACUCCUACGGGAGGCAGCAGUGGAGAAUAUUGGACAAUGGGCGCAAGCCUGAUCCAGCCAUGCCGCGUGAGUGAUGAAGGCCUUAGGGUUGUAAAGCUCUUUCGUCCGGGACGAUAAUGACGGUACCGGAAGAAGAAGCCCCGGCUAACUUCGUGCCAGCCGCCGCAGUAACAC